GGUGUAGCGCAGUCUGGUAGCGCGUCUGCCUUGGGCGCAGAAGGCCGUGGGUUCAAAUCCCGCCGCC
rnacentral:tRNA from 3 species